CCUACGGGGGGCAGCAGUGAGGAAUAUUGGUCAAUGGUAGAGAUCCUGAACCAGCCAAGCCGCGUGAGGGAAGACGGCCCUAUGGGUUGUAAACCUCUUUUGUCGGAGAACAAAACCCGGGACGUGUCCCGGACUGCGUGUAUCCGAAGAAAAAGCAUCGGCUAACUCCGUGCCAGCAGCCGCGGUAAUACGUAGGUGGCAAGCGUUAUCCGGAUUUAUUGGGUGUAAAGGGCGUGUAGGCGGGAAAGCAAGUCAGAUGUGAAAACUCAUGGCUCAACCCUGAGCCUGCAUUUGAAACUGGUUGUCUUGAGUGCUGGAGAGGCAAUCGGAAUGCGGGGUGUAGCGGUGAAAUGCGUAGAUAUACGGAGGAACACCAGUUGCGAAGGCGGAUUGCUGGAUAGUAACUGACGCUGAGGCGCGAAAGCGUGGGGAGCAAACAGGAUUAGAUACCCCAGUAGUC
rnacentral:rRNA from 1 species